rnacentral:rRNA from 1 species
UUGUCCCUACGGGGGGCAGCAGUGGGGAAUAUUGCACAAUGGGGGGAACCCUGAUGCAGCGACGCCGCGUGGGUGAAGGAGUACUUCGGUACGUAAAGCUCUAUCAGCAGGGAAGAAAAUGACGGUACCUGACUAAGAAGCUCCGGCUAAAUACGUGCCAGCAGCCGCGGUAAUACGUAUGGUGCAAGCGUUAUCCGGAUUUACUGGGUGUAAAGGGAGCGUAGGCGGCGCGUUAAGUCUGAUGUGAAAACCCGAGGCUCAACCACGGGAGUGCAUUGGAAACUGGCGGGCUGGAGUGCCGGAGG